GGGAUUUUGGUAUCUGCUGGGGUUACUGGUGUUUUGGAGUCUUACGGAGACUAGGUUAUGGGAUAUAAAGACGACCUAUGUCUCUUCCUACAUUUUAUUCUGCCUUUGCCUGAAGCUCAGCUGCUGACUUACUUGUGGAGGUUGACAGUUCUGACUGAGGUCUGGUCCAAGUUGAGAAUGGUCCAGAGACAUGCGUGUGUCUUCUAAACCCAUUUCCCCGCACCAGACUGACGCCGCCUGGCUGCUUGCCGCUCUCCUGUAGGCAUGCUAGAUGAGACAGGCCGUGGUGUAUAUGGCAUAUAUGCCAUGCUGUAUAUGCAUGUCCUUUGGUUCUACGUGCAGUUCCAUUCCUUCUCUCUUAUUCAAGGAAGUAUGUGGCUUUGCAGGAUGUGGAUUUUGGAUGAGCUGGAAAUAGAACCAUUUCCUUCUAGCUCGGAGUUGCAGGGAGAGAAGGCAGUGCAUGGAGCUGUUGAAAUUCAUACCUUUGACCUGGGAAGAUGCCUCCUUAUCAUUCUCUCCUGAUCCCCGGCAUCCGGGGGAGGAGAUGGACGAACAGAAGAUCACAGGAGUAAUUCGCUCUUGGAAUACUAAUACCAAGAUGAUAACUGAGAUAUGAGUUGCACACAUCAUUUCAUGAAGAAAACUUGUAAGUGUAAAAUACACACAAGACUGUUAAUUAAUAGCCGGAACCGGUGUUUGUGAGAGUGCGGAGGCCGCAGUGCUGAAGUGUGGGGUGAGCAGGUGGUGGAAAGGCUUUGCAUACUUUGGUUGUUGGCUUGUAGAAACCAGUGAGUAUUGCUCUUGUGGUUGGAAAAAGAAAAUCUAAGGAAACACUUAAACAAAUGAAGAAAGCAAGGAGGAUAUUAGGGAAUUUCUAAGUCUCCAUAGUUUAUGUAUAUCUUUUCUUCAGAUUAUUUAUUCAUUCAGGCAAACACUGAUUCUUGUCUUCGUGCGACAGAUAGUACUAAAUAUCAAGGGGUGAGGGCACAUAAAGGUGAGUAAGAUUCGAUUUCUACCUUCCAGUAGCUUUGUUUUUUAAUAAACUAUUAAAAAUUCAAAAAUUGAUUUAUCUG
ensembl:lncRNA